rnacentral:rRNA from 1 species
CUAAAUGACUCUCGGCAACGGAUAUCUCGGCUCUUGCAUCGAUGAAGAACGUAGCGAAAUGCGAUACUUGGUGUGAAUUGCAGAAUCCCGUGAACCAUCGAGUCUUUGAACGCAAGUUGCGCCYGAAGCCAUCAGGUUGAAGGCACGUCUGCCUGGGCGUCACGCAU